rnacentral:rRNA from 1 species
GAACGCGAAGAACCUUACCUGGGUUUGACAUGCACAGGACGCUGGUAGAGAUAUCAGUUCCNUUGUGGCCUGUGUGCAGGUGGUGCAUGGCUGUCGUCAGCUCGUGUCGUGAGAUGUUGGGUUAAGUCCCGCAACGAGCGCAACACUUGUCCUAUGUUGCCAGCGGGUUAUGCCGGGGACUCGUAGGAGACUGCCGGGGUCAACUCGGAGGAAGGUGGGGAUGACGUCAAGUCAUCAUGCCCAUUAUGUCCAGGGCUUCACACAUGCUACAAUGGCCGGUACAAAGGGCUGCGAUGCCGUGAGGUGGAGCGAAUCCUUGUAAAGCCGGUCUCAGUUCGGAUCGGGGUCUGCAACUCGACCCCGUGAAGUCGGAGUCGCUAGUAAUCGCAGAUCAGCAACGCUGCGGUGAAUACGUUCCCGGGUCUUGUACACACC